AUUGAACGCUGGCGGAAUGCUUUACACAUGCAAGUCGAACGGUAGAGGGGGCAACCCCUCGAGAGUGGCGAACGGGUGAGUAAUAUAUCGGAACGUGCCCAGUCGUGGGGGAUAACGUAGCGAAAGUUACGCUAAUACCGCAUACGAUCUAAGGAUGAAAGCGGGGGAUCGCAAGACCUCGCGCGAUUGGAGCGGCCGAUAUCAGAUUAGGUAGUUGGUGGGGUAAAGGCUCACCAAGCCAACGAUCUGUAGCUGGUCUGAGAGGACGACCACACAGACUGGAACGGAGACACGGUCAACACUCCUACGGGAGGCAGCAGUGGGGAAUUUUGGACAAUGGACGCAAGUCUGAUCCAGCCAUUCCGCGUGCAGGAUGAAGGCCCUCGGGUUGUAAACUGCCUUUGUACGGAACGAAAAGGUCUCUCUUAAUACGGGGGACUCAUGACGGUACCGUAAGAAUAAGCACCGGCUAACUACGUGCCAGCCGCCGUAACAC
rnacentral:rRNA from 1 species